CUAUACAUGCAAGUCGAGCGGGGUUGUGUAGAAGCUUGCUUCUAUAUAACCUAGCGGCGGACGGGUGAGUAACACGUAGGCAACCUGCCCACAAGACAGGGAUAACUACCGGAAACGGUAGCUAAUACCCGAUACAUCCUUUUCCUGCAUGGGAGAAGGAGGAAAGACGGAGCAAUCUGUCACUUGUGGAUGGGCCUGCGGCGCAUUAGCUAGUUUGUGGGGUAAAGGCCUACCAAGGCGACGAUGCGUAGCCGACCUGAGAGGGUGAUCGGCCACACUGGGACUGAGACACGGCCCAGACUCCUACGGGAGGCAGCAGUAGGGAAUCUUCCGCAAUGGGCGAAAGCCUGACGGAGCAACGCCGCGUGAGUGAUGAAGGUUUUCGGAUCGUAAAGCUCUGUUGCCAGGGAAGAACGUCUUGUAGAGUAACUGCUACAAGAGUGACGGUACCUGAGAAGAAAGCCCCGGCUAACUACGUGCCAGCAGCCGCGGUAAUACGUAGGGGGCAAGCGUUGUCCGGAAUUAUUGGGCGUAAAGCGCGCGCAGGCGGCUCUUUAAGUCUGGUGUUUAAUCCCGAGGCUCAACUUCGGGUCGCACUGGAAACUGGGGAGCUUGAGUGCAGAAGAGGAGAGUGGAAUUCCACGUGUAGCGGUGAAAUGCGUAGAGAUGUGGAGGAACACCAGUGGCGAAGGCGACUCUCUGGGCUGUAACUGACGCUGAGGCGCGAAAGCGUGGGGAGCAAACAGGAUUAGAUACNNCUGGUAGUCCACGCCGUAAACGAUGAAUGCUAGGUGUUAGGGGGUUUCGAUACCCUUGGUGNCGAAGUUAACACAUUAAGCAUUCCGCCUGGGGAGUACGGUCGCAAGACUGAAACUC
rnacentral:rRNA from 1 species